GAUGAACGCUGGCGGCGUGCCUAAUACAUGCAAGUCGAGCGAACGGACGAGAAGCUUGCUUCUCUGAUGUUAGCGGCGGACGGGUGAGUAACACGUGGAUAACUUACCUAUAAGACUGGGAUAACUUCGGGAAACCGGAGCUAAUACCGGAUAAUAUUUUGAACCGCAUGGUUCAAAAGUGAAAGACGGUCUUGCUGUCACUUAUAGAUGGAUCCGCGCUGCAUUAGCUAGUUGGUAAGGUAACGGCUUACCAAGGCAACGAUGCAUAGCCGACCUGAGAGGGUGAUCGGCCACACUGGAACGGAGACACGGUCCAGACUCCUACGGGAGGCAGCAGUAGGGAAUCUUCCGCAAUGGGCGAAAGCCUGACGGAGCAACGCCGCGUGAGUGAUGAAGGUCUUCGGAUCGUAAAACUCUGUUAUUAGGGAAGAACAUAUGUGUAAGUAACUGUGCACAUCUUGACGGUACCUAAUCAGAAAGCCACGGCUAACUACGUG
rnacentral:rRNA from 1 species